rnacentral:rRNA from 1 species
GAUGAACGCUGGCGGCGUGCCUAAUACAUGCAAGUAGAACGCUGAAGCUUGGUGCUUGCACCGAGCGGAUGAGUUGCGAACGGGUGAGUAACGCGUAGGUAACCUCCCUGGUAGCGGGGGAUAACUAUUGGAAACGAUAGCUAAUACCGCAUGACAACAGUUAUUGCAUGAUAACUGUUUAAAAGGGGCAACUGCUCCACUACCAGAUGGACCUGCGUUGUAUUAGCUAGUUGGUGAGGUAUACGGCUCACCAAGGCGACGAUACAUAGCCGACCUGAGAGGGUGAUCGGCCACACCUGGGACUGAGAGCACGGCCCAGAGCUCCUACGGGAGGCAGCAGUAGGGAAUCUUCGGCAAUGGACGGAAGUCUGUGCCGAGCAACGCCGCGGAGCGAAGAAGGUUUUCGGAUCGUAAAGCU